AUACUUACCUGGCAGGGGAGAUACCAUGAUUGAGAAGGCGGUUCACCCAGGGCGAGGCUCAGCCAUUGCACUCUGUUUAUGUUGACCCUUGCAAAUUCCCCAAACGUGGGAAUCUUGACUCAAUAAUUUUUUCUAGUGGGGUGCUGCGUCCACGCUCUCACCCG